AUAUAUAUAUAUAUAUAUAUAUAUUAAUGUACGGUAUGUAUACAUCUGUAGAUUGCUAUAAUUUCUAAAACAAAAUACAGAAAAAUAUUAACACAACAGUUUAAUUAUUGUAUAGACUUUUCAGAAUGCUUUGGCCUAAAUUGUGCUGAUGUGCCCAAAAUGCAAAUAUCAUAGCUAUCACUAAAAAUACUUUUUUUCCUAAGUAAUGAUUGCAACUUAUCCAUCUUGCAUUCACCUGUAUUAUAAAUGUGUUUCACAUUUUCAAAUUUCAAAAAAAAAAAUAUUCUCAAUUAUAGGUGGUUGAAAAGAUAUUUUUUCAAAAAUUUUCAGCUGUUUUUUUUUUUACCUAUUUUUCUUUUAACUUAUUUUAACUUCAGUUGUCUUAAAAGUAUGUUUUAUUCAAAGUGUAGUAAAUAGGAUUUUCAAUGCAAUAAAACCAAUGAUCUGAAAGAUACUUUGUAGAACAAAACCUAUUUCAACUGUGAGGGAAAAUUAUUUAUGGACAUAAAAUUUAUCGUAUGUGAUGAUUUUGUAUUUGUCAUAAAAUUUAAAUAAAACUUUCUAACUAAAAC